UGCGAGCUUCACUCUCUUCCCCCCCCGGGGCCCCCACCCCGAAGCCCCCAACUCCUCUGCACUGUGAUUUCGAGUUCGGAAUGCGAUUUCGACGUCUUCUGCAGGGAGAAGUGAUGAGGUGUGACUUUUUCAUUUGGGUAGAUAUACUUCACUUGCUAAAAGAAAACAUUCGUACAAGAGAGAAUAAAGUUUGGAAGAUGUAGGAUGCCAUAUUACUGUGGGAGCAUGAAGUUCGUAAAAGAGAAUAUAAAGUAUGAGAGAAAGAGACAACUUUACUAAAUGAAAAGCAAAAAUAAUUUUUGUUUAUGUUGGGUUGUUACAAUUAUAAUAGUUUUUGAUUGGUUUGGAUAAACUGUAUGUAAAUAGCACAUUGUAUGGUACUCCCCCUAUGUUUUGGUUAUAAUGUACAAAAGGGGCAUCUAUAGGUUCAUUAAAUUAA